GAGUUUGAUCGUGGCUCAGGACGAACGCUGGCGGCGUGCCUAAUACAUGCAAGUAGAACGCUGACUACUUUAGCUUGCUAGAGUAGAAGGAGUUGCGAACGGGUGAGUAACGCGUAGGUAACCUGCCUACUAGCGGGGGAUAACUAUUGGAAACGAUAGCUAAUACCGCAUAACAGUGUUUAACACAUGUUAGAUGCUUGAAAGAUGCAAUUGCAUCACUAGUAGAUGGACCUGCGUUGUAUUAGCUAGUUGGUGGGGUAACGGCCCACCAAGGCGACGAUACAUAGCCGACCUGAGAGGGUGAUCGGCCACACUGGGACUGAGACACGGCCCAGACUCCUACGGGAGGCAGCAGUAGGGAAUCUUCGGCAAUGGGGGCAACCCUGACCGAGCAACGCCGCGUGAGUGAAG
rnacentral:rRNA from 1 species